GCAGACCCUCCCCUCUCCCCUCCAGCCUGGACACGCCCGCCUCCCCUUGACUCCCCCCAGCUCUGGGCCCCCACCUCCCCUCCCCUCCAGCACAGUCACCCCCAUUUCUCUCCUAUCCGCCAUCCUGGUUCCUCCCUUCCCCCCACCUCCCAACUCUGUGCCCCGCCAACGUUUCCUAAAUGCCCUCUAUUCAGAUCCCCCCUCCGCCUCCCCUCUCCUCUCCUCCAUUCCUGCGUCCCCCUUCCCCCGCCGCGCCGCCUGGGCUGUCCGUGGACUUCUCCCACUCUCUCACUCUCUCACUCACUCUCUCUCUCUCUCUCUCUCUCUCACUCUCUCUCUCUCUCUCCCCCUCAUUUAUUUGGAACCGUUGGAUAAGAAGUGCUCGGGCUCUCGCUCAGACUUAGGGAGCUGCCUCGAGGUGAUGAAUGACACCCCCUGGCACCAGCUACCCUUCUCAGACCCCAGUCCAGCCCGCUCCCGACGUCGACUACGAUUCCGCUACCUCGGCUGGCAGCGAGGUUGGGGUGAGCCCCAGCUGCAGGCGCGUCUGGGCUGCGCCGCUGCAAACGAGUUGCGCACCUUGGGCGGCUCCGCACCUGCACCCGCACCCGCGGGGCUCAGCCCCGAAGGCUGCAGCUUCGGGGGAGGCGCGGUCGCCGAGGUCCAGCUGGUGGGGCGAGAGACGUCGCCCCUCGGAGGAUGCUCUCGGAACUUGGGAGAGGAAGGAGGGAAGAGAAGAGGGGAAAGGGGCCGUCGAUGUUUUUGAUGUCUGUGCUUUAAUGGAGGCCACCAAUAUUGAGAAGACGGGGUUGGCCGAGGCAGCCCGCACGCUGCUGCUUGCGAGCGCUCGAGUCAAAGCUAGGGCCAACCGCGGCUUGUCCGGGUGCCCUAAGGGGGCGGACACUUGGUUUAGCACCGGGACACAGAAUAGCCACCGGGGUAGGAAGAUGCGUUCACUUUGCUUACCUGUUGGCAAGAGGGACAUACAAAAAUAACGUAACGUGACAUCGUUGACAACGGUAGCUCUUUGAUUACACAAAAGCCAAUUUUACCUUCCCGCAAAAGCCAGUUGACGCCUUUGGAACUUUUAUUUGCGGCAUUUUGGCGCCCUCUGGCUGUGUUUGGAUCGCUUUCAUGCUCGCCUGCGUCCCAGCCAAGAAAAAAUCGAUGGAGCUGCAGGUUGUCCUCAGGAUGGUUCUGCCCUCAGGACCUGGGCGUGAAUUCAGGGACAGGGUGGCCCUCCAGAACCGGAGUGACAAACUGUAACCAUACUUAGGGAGGCAGACGUCAAAGGCAAGUACAUCUGUAUUCAACUGGGUAAAGGAAGAGUUUUUCAGCCUGGCGUGGUGGCUCACACCUGUAAUCCCAGCACUUUGGGAGGCCAAGCCAUGUGAAGACGUGCCUGCCUCCCUGUUACCUUCCACCAUGAUUGUAAGCUUCCUGAGGCCUCCCCAGCCAUGCCUGCUGUAUAGCCUGCAGAACAGAUUAAUGAAAAUAAAACGCAGACCUUAUAAGCAGACGCUGUGAUUUUGUAAUAAAGAGGGGCAGCUUUUACAGGAAAAAGAACCCGAGGGAAGCUGUUGGCAGUCUGUGAAACGACGGUCAUGGUGGAAUUCGUUUUUCUGCACAUUAGAUGUUUAAAACAGCUGGUUUUCGUUGUUGUUGUUGUUGUUGUUUUCCUGAAAGAAUCUUGUUCCCCACAAUAUGUUCUUGGUAUUCAAAAUGGCUUUUGCUCCUACUUUUUGGAAAAUGCACUUCAGUUUCCAAUUUAUUCAUUUGUUAGUGGGUUCAUCAAUUAGUUUAUUCAUCAAUUAGUUCAUCCAUUGUGGAAGACAGUGUGGCGAUUCCUCAAGGAUCUAGAACCAAAAAUACCAUUUGACCCAGCAGUCCCAUUACUGGGCUUAUUGAAGUCUCCUAAUGUGAAUUUCUACUCCUGGACAUAAUACCUUCUUCUCAGAAAUAAGACAGAGUUUUCCCCUGCACUUCUUUAUAUGCUUUUUUCUCUGACUUUUGCCAUGUGGUUUUGUUUCUCCCAUGGCUUGAAAGAGCAGGAAAACUGAAGGUACCAACUGAAAGUGCUGCUUCCUGCUUUUGGUUUUCCUUCAUUUUAUUUCAUUUUUCAAGCUGAGUCUCACUCUGUUGCCCAGGCUGAAAUGCAGCUCAACCAUCACGGCUCACAGCAGCCUUGACCUCCUGAGCUCAAGCAGUCCUCCUUCCUCAGCCUCCCGAGUAGCUAGGACCAUAGGUGUGCACCGCCACCCUUAGCUUUUUUUUUUUUUUUUUUUUUGUAGAGACAGAGUCUCCCUAUGUUUCCCAGACUCGGUGUUUUUCAAAUAUUUGAAAAUGUAAAAGCCAUUCUUAGCCCACAGGCUGUACAAAAACAGAUGGAGGGCCAGAUUUAACCCAUGGGCAGUGGUUGGCCAAACCCUUGUGUAUCCCAUGCCAUGCCCUACUAUUCCAGACUUAAAAGUUAUAAUUUUAGGAUAAACUUGUUAUAUUUUUGUCAUGUCAGAAGACUGAGUGUAUACAUUUUCUUUUUUUUUUUUUUGACGGAGUUUUGCUCUGUCCCCCAGGCUGGAGUGCAGUGGGGUGAUCUCGGCUCACUACAACCUCUGUCUUCCGAGUUCAAGUGAUUCUCCUGUCUCAGUCUCCUGAGUAGCUGGGAUUACAGGCUCAUGCCACCAUGCCCAGCUAAUUUUUGUAUUUUUAGUAGAAACGGGGUUUUGCCAUGUUGGCCAGGCUGGUCUCGAACUCCUGACCUCAGGUGAUCCACCUGCCUAGGCCUCCCAAAGUGCUGGAAUUACAGGCGUGAGCCACUGCACCUGGCCUGAGCAUAUACAUUUUCAUAGGCAAAAACAUACCUUGGAAAUACUUCUCAGGAAUGUGCACAUAUGAAUUACAAAAUGUAAAAAGCUUCAACUCCAUUAUGAACUGUAAAUGCAUGUGGCAGGAGGCGAUCCUCAUAGAAGCUGUCAGGGCGUGACUUCAUUCUAGAUGCUGUAAGUAGCAAUAAUAAAAGAGGAAGCAAACACGUGCAGCUUCUGGAAUUCAGACCCUGGAGGAAGGAGACAGGUGGCCUUGAGUGAGGAUAUGAGGAACACAGUCAAGGAGAAAAUGCAGCUGGUGAAUUAUAAACAUCCAUGGGCAGACAUAGAAAGUUAGGAACCCCAGCCCUCUAAUGGAACCAAGAAACCAGAGGCCAGUAGGAAACGGCUCCAGGAAGAGCGAAACUUGAUAAAUGUCCUAGACGUCAGUGAGAAAGAUCCGUUUGUUUUGUUUACACUGAAAAUUUUUAAAUUGCAUGACUAUUUAGAGCACUUUUACAUUUUUUGCCUAGAAUUAGAUCCAAAGAAUAAAUGACCUAUUGAGCCUGAAGGGAUUUUAGGAAAAAAUAACUUUUUUAAAAAAAUAUGUUUUUUUGUUUUUUGUGUUUUUUUUUUGAGACAGAGUCUCGCUCUGUCACCCAGGCCGGAGUGCAGUGGUGCUAUCUUGGCUCACUGCAAGCUCUGCCUCCCGGGUUCACGCCAUUCUCCUGCCACAGCCUCCCAAGUAGCUGGGACUACAGGCAUCUGCCACCACCCCCGGUUAAUUUUUUUUUUUUUUGUAUUUUUAGUAAAGACGGGGUUUCACCGGGUUGCCCAAGAUGGUCUCGAUUUCCUGACCUCAUGAUCUGCCAGCCUUGGCCUCUCAAAAUGCUGGGAUUACAGGUGUGAGCCACCAUGCCUGGCCUAAAAAAUAUAUAUUUUUUAAAAAAUAAAGACAAGGGUCUCACUAUGUUGCCCAGCUUGGUCUUGAAAUCUUGGGCUCAAGUGAUCCUCCUGCCUUGGCCUCCCAAAGUGCUAGGAUUACAGACAUGAGCCACUGCACCAGGCCAAGAAAAAGUAUCUUAAUGACAUAUUUUCAUUUGUGUUUUUCUUCAGCCCUCUGGAUGCCAGCUCUCCUUCCCACUUGGCAGCUCCCUGCAGCAGUUUCUCGUUAUGAUUUUUGGGAGCUUGUUACAGAUGUGAAAUCCUCCUCUUUAAUUUAAGUCUAUGUCCACUAAUUUGGUCCUCCACAAAACUGAUGAAAAACUAGUGCACAUUCCCCACAUUAAAACUUGUCAUUUACCUAAAGAUUGUCAUUAAACCCCCUCAGUCUACUUUUCUCCUGACCAAACACCCCCAAACCCUUGAACCUUUUCUUAUAGAACCAACCGUCAUCGUUUAAAACAUUUGUGUGCCUCCUAUUUCUUUACAAUAUUUUUUAACAGCGGAAACAAACCCCCAAAAUGCAUUUUCUAGUGAGGCUUGGACUAAGGUGGAUUAGAGAAAGAAUACACAAAGGAGAAUGAUUUCCUAAACUGCGCCCGUUAUACUUCCGACAUCUCAGUACCAUGCUGGCUUUUUCCCACAGAAUUGCUAUAUUUCUGAGGAGUAUUCAUUUAGUAAACCGAGUUCUCUGCACCCAGGUCAUUUUGCCACUAAACUUGUAAUAAUCUCAGCAACAACAGUAAUAGCAGCAUCUAACUGUUGCCCUGUGUUAAUGGCUGACAGCCGCCCUCUGCGGUUAGUCUACCAUCAUCUGCAAUUUAUAGCAGAGGAUCCAGGCUUGGAGAGGUUCAGGAACUGGCCUGAGAUGAUCCUGGCUGUGAAUGGUGAAGACUGGGUUCUAAUCUACAACUGGAUCCCUGGAUUCUCACUCUUGAGUGCCAUGCUGUGUACUUCUCAGUGUCGAUCUGUGGAUUGAAAUUAACAGUAUCUGCCGGGCGCAGUGGCUCAGGCCUGUAAUCCGAGCACUUUGGGAGGCCGAGGUGGGCGGAUCAUGAGGUCAGGAGUUCGAGACCAGCCUGGCCAACAUAGUGAAACCCCAUCUCUACUAAAAAUACAAAAAAUUAUCCAGAUGUGGUGGUGUAUGACUUACCCCAGCUACUCGGGAGGCUGAGGCAGGAGCAUCGCGUGAACCCGGGAGACGGAAGUUGCAGUGAGCCAAGAUUGCGCCACUGCACUCCAGCCCAGGCAACAGAGCGAGACUCCAUCUCAAAAAAAAAAAAAAAAAGGAAAGAAAUUAACAGUAUCUGUAUUAGUCAUCUCAGGCUGCUGUAAUAAAAAUACCAUAGACUGGGUGACUUAAACAACGACAUUUAUUUCUUACUGUUCUGAAGGCUGGGAAGUCUAAGAUCAAGGCACUGGCAGGUCUAGAGUCUGGCGAGGGCUCUCUUCUGGUUUGUAGACAGCACACUGGUAUCUUCACUGAGAAGAGCACUAAUCCCAUGAUGAGGGCUCCCCCCUCAUGACCUCAUGUAACCCUAACCACCUUCCAAAGUUCCUAUCACAAUGGGGAUUAGGGUUUCAACAUAUGAAUUGGGGUCAAGAAGGGAGGACACAAACAUGCAGUCUGUAACACUACCUCUUUUCAUACUUAAAAAAAAAAUGCGGGUUUUUGUUUGUUUAACACUCUUUUUUUUUUUUUUUUGGGGGGGUGAUGGAGUCUCGCUCUGUCACCCAGGCUGGAGUGCAGUGGCGCGAUCUCGGCUCACUGCAAGCUCCGCCUCCCGGGUUCGCGCCAUUCUCCUGCCUCAGCGUCCCGAGUAGCUGGGACUACAAGCCCCCACCACCACGCCUGGCUAAUAUUUUGUAUUUUUAGUAGAGACGGGCCCACGCCCACCCGGAACUCCCGCUGGCCCGCAAGCGCCGCACGCAGCCCCGGUUCCCGCUCGUGCCUCUCCCUCCACACCUCCAUGCAAGCUGAGGGAGUGGGCUCCGGCCUUGGCCAGCCCAGAAAGGGGCUCCCACAGUGCAGUGGGGGGCUGAAGGGCUCCUCAAAUGCCACCAAAGUGGGAGCCCAGGCAGGAGAGGUGCCAAGAGCAAGCGAGGGCUCUGAGGACUGCCAGCAUGCUGUCACCUCUCAGUUUCACCGUGUUAGCCAGGAUGGUCUCGAUCUCCUGACCUCAUGAUCUGCCCGCCUCAGCCUCCCAAAGUGCUGGGAUUACAGGCGUGAGCCACCGUGCCCGGCCUUAACACUCUAUUUUUUUUUUUUUUUUUUUUUGAGACGUAAUUUUGCUUUUGUUGCCCAGGCUGGAGUGCAAUGGCGCGAUUUCGGCUCACUGCAACCUCCAUCUCCCGGGUUCAAGCAAUUCUCCUGCCUCAGCCUCCCAAGUAUCUGGGAUUACAGGCAUGCGCCACCACACUUGGCUAAUUUUGUAUUUUUAAUAGAGAUGGGGUUUCUCCAUGUUGGUCAGGCUGGUCUCAAACUCCCAACCUCAGGUGAUCCGCCCACCUUGGCCUUCCAAAGUGCUGGGAUUACAGGCGUGAGCCACUGAGCCCCACCUGUUUAACAUUUUUUAAUUUUUUUUUUUAAUUAUAGAGAUGGGGUCUCACUAUGUUGCCCAGGCUGGUCUCAAACCCCUGGGCUCAAGUGAUCCUCCCGCCUCAGCCUCCCAAAGUGCUGGGACUAUAGGCAUGAGUCACUGCACCUGGCCUCUUUUUAUACUGACCAGGUUUGUGUUACUCCACUCUAUUUCCUUCAACAACAAUUUCCCAAUUUAUCAAGGUAAUUUUCAAAUUUAUACUGGUUCUUAGUCCAGAGAAUUAGCAACUCCAACUAAUUAAGUAACAUCUGCAGUUUCAGUCAGUAUAUUUCCAUUAUCUUCAUUCCUUUUAUGGAAACUUAAAAAUUUCAACUUCAGGCUGGGCAUGGUGGCUCAUGCCUGUAAUCCCAGCACUUUGGGAAGCCAAGGCGGGAAAAUCACUUGAGCUUAGGAGUUUGAGACCAGCCUGGGCAAUAUAUCGAGACCUUGUCUCUACAACAGCAACAACAACAAUAAAAAUUAAAAGUUUAAACUUCAAAUUCUGACUGUUAGACGCAAUAAGCGCUAACAUUGUAUUCCAGGCAUUAUUGUAAGCAUGUUAUAUGCCUUAACUCCUUUGCUACUCUCUGUGGCCCUAAAAAGUAGAUACACUUGUUCCUUCCACUGUUAGAUGAUAGAGGCACAGAGUGGUUGUAUAACUUGCUUAAGGUCACGCAGCUAGACAUUUGGCCCCACAUCUUUACAAGUAGCUUUAGAUUCAAAAAAUAUUCUAUGUGCAUCUUGUUUCCAAUUCUCUUUUCAAUAAAUAAUCCCUUUCCAAUCAAGAAUUUUAGGGAAAAAUUGGACCAUUUUUCUAAUGUUAUUUAUCCAUUUUCCUGCUAAUAG
rnacentral:lncRNA from 1 species